AGAACAGAAAAUUGAGGUAUAAGUUCCAAAAAGCCUUGGCGUAAACCCUGAAACUCCUGCCCACACAAGCCAUUGUGGAGAGCUCCCCAGAAAGUCUUUUUUCCCAGCACAUGAAGAAGAAUCACCACCUUUUCUAGUAACCUGGGUUUGGACCUACCUAGGAGAGAGUGAAUGGAUUUCCUCUGGAACACCUUGAGAUGGAGCAUCCUGGCAUCAUGACUAGGCAUAGAAGCCUACUCUAAGCAACAAGGAGUCUAGGGCAGUGUACUCUUCUUCCAGGCUGUGAAAGCCUCUAAAGAUGUACAGGUCAACUUCCUGAUGCUACUAGGGGAACACUGAACCCAACUGUCUAGAGAACUUCACGGGGGGCUCACCUGAUUGAAAACCGUACUUGUGUUCAUUUUUUCCCAGCUCACGAAAAGACCCAUCUAGGUAAGGAUUGUUUUAAUUGUAUCACAGUGAAAUUCAUCCCAGGAAUACUGGGAUUCACAGGGCAGUACGGCAGGUGCUAUGAGUGGAAUUCCUGCUGACGAGCCAGAUCUCCGUACCACACAGUAAAAAGAAGGGUUGAGAUUCAAGCCUGGAUCUGUGUUAU
rnacentral:lncRNA from 1 species